rnacentral:rRNA from 1 species
AUGCCUUACACAUGCAAGUCGAACGGCAGCGGGGGUAGCUUGCUACCUGCCGGCGAGUGGCGAACGGGUGAGUAAUACAUCGGAACGUGCCCUGUAGUGGGGGAUAACUAGUCGAAAGACUAGCUAAUACCGCAUACGACCUGAGGGUGAAAGUGGGGGACCGCAAGGCCUCAUGCUAUAGGAGCGGCCGAUGUCUGAUUAGCUAGUUGGUGGGGUAAAGGCCUACCAAGGCGACGAUCAGUAGCUGGUCUGAGAGGACGAUCAGCCACACUGGGACUGAGACACGGCCCAG